CCCUAAAAGCUUUACUAUAGUUUAUAUAUUUAUAUUGUAAUAAUUAGUUUUACUGGGGUAGUGACUUUUAAAAGAUUGAGGUUUAGUUAACAUUAAUGUGGGUUUAGUUCUUAUAAAUAAUAAAAAUUGAAUUAGUUACUUUAGGGAUAACAGCGUAAUAAUCUCGGAAAGUUCAUAUUUAUGGAGUAGAUUGCGACCUCGAUGUUGAAUUAAAAUAAUCUUAGUGGAGUAGAAG
rnacentral:rRNA from 2 species